rnacentral:lncRNA from 1 species
AUGGUACAAAAUUGAGAUGUUUUAUGGGAGAAAUUUAGGAAUAAUCCACUGCAAUCGUUUAUACCAAACAACUCAUUUGGGCUUCUAGUGUUUUGAAUUUGGAGUGGAUAAAAUUCUAAAAACACUAGCAAAGCACUAAAGUCAAACGAGACCCGAAUAGUGUAACGUUAACAUCAAUGAUAAACAUCAUCGUGCUUCCUAAUAUUAUUCCGCAUAUGCUUCUUCAGAACCAAAUCGCUCGACAAAUAUGUCUUCCAGGAGUUAAAAAAUACCCCUCAAAAAGAGAAGAAAAAAACACAUGACACCUCUACCUUAGCUGGCCUUUGAACUUCGGGCUUCCUAGUUUCUCUGUACCCGAACAUCUGUCUACGGAUCAACAUCUGUGAACCAUGACUUAACACGUGCACCAUCUUUGUUGUAAUUUAUUGGCCCA